UACGAAGGGGGCUAGCGUUGUUCGGAAUUACUGGGCGUAAAGGGCGCGUAGGCGGCCCGAUUAGUCAGAUGUGAAAGCCCCGGGCUCAACCUGGGAACUGCAUUUGAUACUGUCGGGCUUGAGUUCCGGAGAGGAUGGUGGAAUUCCCAGUGUAGAGGUGAAAUUCGUAGAUAUUGGGAAGAACACCGGUGGCGAAGGCGGCCAUCUGGACGGACACUGACGCUGAGGCGCGAAAGCGUGGGGAGCAAACAGG
rnacentral:rRNA from 1 species